CCGUUCGAAUAGGGCGGUACCUUGACGGUACCUAACCAGAAAGCCACGGCUAAUACGUGCCAGCAGCCGCGGUAAUACGUAGGUGGCAAGCGUUGUCCGGAAUUAUUGGGCGUAAAGGGCUCGCAGGCGGUUUCUUAAGUCUGAUGUGAAAGCCCCCGGCUCAACCGGGGAGGGUCAUUGGAAACUGGGGAACUUGAGUGCAGAAGAGGAGAGUGGAAUUCCACGUGUAGCGGUGAAAUGCGUAGAGAUGUGGAGGAACACCAGUGGCGAAGGCGACUCUCUGGUCUGUAACUGACGCUGAGGAGCGAAAGCGUGGGGAGCGAACAGGAUUAGAUACCCUGGUAGUCCACGCCGUAAACGAUGAGUGCUAAGUGUUAGGGGGUUUCCGCCCCUUAGUGCUGCAGCUAACGCAUUAAGCACUCCGCCUGGGGAGUACGGUCGCAAGACUGAAACUCAAAGGAAUUGACGGGGGCCCGCACAAGCGGUGGAGCAGUGGUUUAAUUCGAAGCAACGCGAAGAACCUUACCAGGUCUUGACAUCCUCUGACAAUCCUAGAGAUAGGACGUCCCCUUCGGGGGCAGAGUGACAGGUGGUGCAUGGUUGUCGUCAGCUCGUGUCGUGAGAUGUUGGGUUAAGUCCCGCAACGAGCGCAACCCUUGAUCUUAGUUGCCAGCAUUCAGUUGGGCACUCUAAGGUGACUGCCGGUGACAAACCGGAGGAAGGUGGGGAUGACGUCAAAUCAUCAUGCCCCUUAUGACCUGGGCUACACACGUGCUACAAUGGACAGAACAAAGGGCAGCGAAACCGCGAGGUUAAGCCAAUCCCACAAAUCUGUUCUCAGUUCGGAUCGCAGUCUGCAACUCGACUGCGUGAAGCUGGAAUCGCUAGUAAUCGCGGAUCAGCAUG
rnacentral:rRNA from 1 species